AAGCAGAAGAGACACAGGAAGGAAGAGCAGGGGGCCAGACUAGAGCAGAGAGAAGCAACAUGACUGACCCACCCACCUACCCACUCUCCGAGCCAGAGCCCUCUGCCUCUCAGAAACCUUCUGUCUCCCCCCUCCAUGGCUGUGUGCGCUAAGGAGUGCAUGCAGCUGUCAGUCCAGAGCUGCACACAUUUGUAAGGACUUCUCUUCCCCAGAGGAUCCUAAAUGUGCGGCACUUAUCCACAGGGGUCGCGGAAUCGCAGCCACCUCUGGGGCAGAACAGCAGUGCUACAUAACAGCUUAGCAGAGUGUGUAAAGGAGAAUGCAGCAGGGGGAAUAGAGAGGCCGAAUGGACUGUAGUGGGAGGAAGUGCGGUCAAGUGGCUGGAGGCAGGAUGCCUGGGUCUGUCCCUGGGUCUGCCCCUGGAUAUGCUGUGUGACUUUGGGCAAGUCAUUUUCACCUGCUGGGGGCUCGGUUUGCUCAUCUGUGAUCUAAUGGGGAUGAUAGUGCUGCCCCUCCUGUGGCAGGUGCUUUGAGAUCCUGGGGUGAAAGGUGCAAAUGAUGCUGGAACUGAGCUAACUGCCCAUGUGUUUCUGGGGCCUGGAGCCAAAGAAUUGGGUCCCUUCCGAGACUCACGCCCUGGCCCAUCUGAUCCAUUCGCUCCAGCCUUAACCGGGCACUAAGGAUGGAAAAGGAAGGAGAAGGAGACCCAGGAGGGGGCACUUUACCCAGGACAAAGGACAUGGGGAUGAGGUCCGUGGAGCGGUUGCAGUACUGAGCCACUUUCACAUAGACACGCUUCUGCUCUUCAGUCAGCAACCGCCUGCAGGGACACAAAGAGCCGGGAUCAGGCGCUCACCCCGGUGUGCGUUAUUGCCUGGAACCUCCAACUCCUCUGCGCUCAUCUUUGGAUUCUUCUUCCCCUCACUGCCCUGCACAGGAGCGCUUACUUCUCCCGGCUCUAUCCCUCCCCAAGUGACCCCCCCCCACCAGCCUGCCAUGGAUGGCUCCCUGUGGUAUGUUUCUUAAAGAGUUCCCACUCCAGCUGUCACCCAAGCCAGGGAUCUUCCACUGAUGGGCGCCUGCAGGAUCUCUCCAGUGACAGAUUUUCCCUGAGACUAGCAUUUCCAGAUGUUCUCCAGCUAAAUGGAUGGAUACUCUAAUGGCAGGCACUGUCCAUCAGCAGAAACGGGGUUAAUAAAAGAGAAGCAGCAACAGCAAGUGGGUAAAGGACACAGGUAUUUCCAGCAAGUCCAUGUGCAAGUGAAACAGACUGACUGCUGCACGAAAAGGGAACAGCCUACUACUGCUGCUGGCUCGUGAAAUCAAUCCUUUCUCCCAGGUGGCAGAGGGCUGCCAUAGGUCCUGGGUUCUGUCCCUGGAGUGUGGACAGCCCAUGUGGGGAAGCCGUGCCACAUACUCACCGCCCCAGCGCCUGGAGUCAGGUGGAUCUGUGACGGAUUCAGCCUCCGUUCUUUAAGAAAAAGCAACCGUUCCGCCUUUGAGACUCUGACCAGAUCGGUGUUCCUCAAGCAUCUCUUUAUCGAAUUCCUGAGGUGGGGAAGAGGCUGAGCUAUCCAGGUGCUGUGGCUUAAAAGACUCGUCCUUUCCUCAAACCCUUCUGGAAGGAAACCGUGUAUCACCUGAGCGUCUCGGCUGUGCUAAUCCCCCUCACUUCCAUACCCCGCUGGAUAUUGAUCCCGCCUUGGUGUUGAGUAAUAACUAGUUUGCUGCUGCAUGUUUCGGACUUACCCUGAAGUAACCCCCUGGAAGAAAGCAUU